rnacentral:rRNA from 1 species
CCUACGGGAGGCAGCAGUGGGGAAUAUUGCACAAUGGGGGAAACCCUGAUGCAGCGACGCCGCGUGAGUGAAGAAGUCUUUCGGUACGUAAAGCUCUAUCAGCAGGGAAGAAAAUUACGGUACCUGACUAAGCCGCCCCGGCUAACUACGUGCCCGCCGCCGCGGUCCUACGUAGGGGGCAAGCGUUAUCCGGAUUUACUGGGUUUAACGGGAGCGUAGACGGCAGCGAAAGUCUGGAGUGAAAUCCCAUGGCUUAACCGUGGAACUGCUGUGGAAAAUGUGCAGCUGGAGUGCAGGAGAGGUAAGCGGAAUUCCUAGUGUAGCGGUGAAAUGCGUAGAUAUUAGGAGGAACACCAGUGGCGAAGGCGGCUUACUGGACUGUAACUGACGUUGAGGCUCGAAAGCGUGGGGAGCAAACAGGAUUAGAUACCCUAGUAGUC